rnacentral:lncRNA from 1 species
AAGCCUUCUUUUCACGUCUUGUAAAGUCCUUUUUCUCUUUAGCAUCAACAUGCAUACUUAGAGGCUCUUCACGUUCAUCUUCAAUGUUCCAAAGGUCCAAAGAUGCCAAUAAAAGUUCCAUUUUUACCUUCCAUUGGUAGAAAUUGUCACCUUUAAACUUCUCAAUCACUCUCAAACCUUCACCCUUACUAGAAGCCAUGUCUAAGAGCAGGUCUAUCAAAAAAUAUCAAAAAAAGGAGUCUGUAUGUCCUUAAAAACACCAAAAUAAUUUUUGCACUAACAAAAUCUGAGAAUGCCCUCUUGUGAACAAAUGAUUGUUUCUUCACUUCAAUCACUCACAACUCAAAUUUCAAAUCUACUAACAAGUAUGUGAACUCCAAUCAGCCUCAUCAUUAAGUUUUUUAACUCAUAAAACUUAUUUUCUUACUAAAACUUCCACAAUACCAAAGACACUAUCAAGAUCUUUGUAUAAGGUCUUAAUUACUCAAUCCUAG